UCUCCUCUUCUCCUCACUCAAAUUUCUUCAUCUACUUCUCUAAUUUGUUACAAAAUCACAUAAAAACCAUUAACCCACUUCAUCUUCUUCAUCUCUCCCUCACAAAAUUUGUUUUUUGCUUCAAAAUUUCUCAUUUCCCCAAUUUGUGCCCUAAUUCUCGAUUUUCACCAUUUUGCCUCCAUUCAAUCAAUGCCGAGGACCAAGCAAGCUGGAAAAAG
rnacentral:lncRNA from 1 species